CAGGACAGUCUGAUGUAGGAUGUCAAGGUGCCCUGGGACCAGCAGUCCCUCAGUGUUGAGUAAAGAGGGCCCAGUCUGCUUCAACAUGACCAGCACAUACACACACCUGAGAGGAGGAGGAGCUGCCUGACCUGGUAGAGCUGCAGCUCUUUGGGACAAAGUCAGACAGCGAGGGCUGUUGCUGAACAAACCAGCCACAGAGACCAGCUUGCACGGCACAGCAGACCAGCACAAACAGCCAGCUUCCAAGGCCUCUCAGUAUAUGCAGUGAGAUGGAAGUGAUAAUGGAGAGGGCCACUGUUUGGAAAAUGGAGGUGAGGGGAAGCUGAAGACGACACACCACUUCCCCUGGCUGCCCCAGGAAGAGCAGCAGACUGAGGCAACCUCCCAUCAGGCUUAACAGAGCC